AGUGGUUAGUAAGGGUUAGUAUGACUGCCUGCGAUGCAGAAGUUUCCGGGUUCAAUUCCCAGUGUCACUC